CCCAAAGUAGGCAUUUCACAAGUAAAUUGCAUUUAUUCAAGAAUAUUCACAAGCUAGACCUAAAUUCUUAUGAACCAUGCUAUUUUCACGUUUAUUAACUAACAGCUGUCCACUAAUGUAGUUAUUAGAGCAAUAACAUUCAUGGAAAUGAAGAAGAAGAAAUAAAUAAUCAGCUGACUAGUUUACUCUAUGGUUCUAUUUCUAUAGUUCUUGGUUGUGCAGUUUAUUCUGUGGUUGUGCUUUCUGAUUUUGAAUAAAACAGUGAGUUAUUGAAAGUGUGUUUGUUUUGUGAAGUUAGAUGUUAUAAUUAUGGGUGGACUAUCGAAAAAAAGACAAAACAUCAAAUAAAGGAAUUCAAGUAAUAUAAAUCAGCGAUUUAAAAAGGAUGUCAGUGAGAAAACUCACCUGCUGCUGUCCAGCGGCUGGUGCAUUCCAAGGAAGGACCAACUAGGAAUACAUAACCAGUGAAACUUCGAAGAUUAGCCCUAACAUUGAUAUUUUAUUCUAGUCGGGCAUAUAAUUAUGUCCAAAAUGUUUUUUUUCUUACAGUUUGCCACAUCCCAGCACACUUAAGAAUGGUACCUCAGUGGAUAGCAGGCCCUAAUGUUGAAAAAAAAAUAAUAAUAAAAUGGCUACAAAAUGAAA